rnacentral:rRNA from 1 species
AGGACGAACGCUGGCGGCGUGCUUAACACAUGCAAGUCGAGCGCCCGUAGCAAUACGGGAGCGGCAGACGGGAUAGUAACACGUGGGAACGCGCCCUUCGGUUCGGAAUAACUCAGGGAAACUUGAGCUAAAUACCGGAUACGCCCUUACGGGGAAAGAUUUAUUGCCGAAGGAACGGCCCGCGUCCGAUUAGCUAGUUGGUGAGGUAAUGGCUCACCAAGGCGACGAUCGGUAGCUGGUCUGAGAGGAUGACCAGCAUCACUGGGACUGAGACACGGCCCAGACUCCUACGGGAGGCAGCAGUGGGGAAUAUUGGACAAUGGGCGCAAGCCUGAUCCAGCCAUGCCGCGUGGAUGAUGAAGGCCUUAGGGUUGUAAAGUCCUUUUAACGGGGAAGAUAAUGACGGUACCCGUAGAAUAAGCCCGGCUAACUUCGUGUCCAGCAGCCGC